rnacentral:tRNA from 1 species
GGCCAGAUAGCCAAGUAGUAAGGCAGAAGUCUGCAAAACUUCUAUACGUGGGUGCAAUUCCCACUCUGGCCU